rnacentral:misc_RNA from 1 species
AAGUCGUAACAAGGUUUUCGUAGGUGAACCUGCGGAAGGAUCAUUAGUGAAAUAUUGGAUUCCUCUGCAAAGAGAAGGUCCAUUUCCACUUUCAAACACUGUGAACUUGUCUUUUCUGUCUAUCGCGUUUUGGCGCUUUAGGCAUGAAACACUUGUACUAAAACUUAAUAAGUCUUGAUGUAUCUUUUGAUAAUGAAAUUAAAA